rnacentral:rRNA from 1 species
AUUGAACGCUGGCGGCAGGCCUAACACAUGCAAGUCGAACGAGUGGCGGACGGGUGAGUAAUGUCUGGGAAACUGCCUGCUGGAGGGGGAUAACUACUGGACACGGUAGCUAAUACCGCAUACCAUCAGAUGUGCCCAGAUGGGAUUAGCUAGUUGGUGGGGUAACGGCUCACCACGGCGACGAGCCCUAGCGGGUCUGAGAGGAUGACCAGGCACACUAGAACUGAGACACGUUCAAGACUCCUAAGGUAGGCAGCAGUGGGGAAUAUUGCACAAUGGGCGCAAGCCUGAUGCAGCCAUGCCGCGUGUAUGAAGAAGGCCUUCGGGUUGUAAAGUACUUUCAGCGGGGAGGCGGUACCCGCAGAAGAAGCACCGGCUAACUCCGUGCCAGCAGCCGCGGUAAUAC